AAGCUAUUAACAGAGCAGGAGAUAUGAAAUUCUAAGAUAAAGAGUUUACAGUAAAGGAAGUGUAAACGAUUACUCUCUACAGGAAGUGUUUAGCAAGGCUGUGCAAGUCACACACAGGGAGGUGUAAUUUGAGCUGCAUAAACCAUGAUUUAACUCAAAUGGCAGAAAAUUGAGCAGUGAGACUGCAGGGGCAUGAUCUAUACACCAAAACGGCUUCAUUAAGUUAAGGUUGUUUUGGUGCCUAUAGUGUCCCUUUAAGAUGGCCAAAUUAUUAGGCUUUCUUAAAAUGGGCAGUUUUAAAGAUUUCAGUCUAGUGAAUAAUAACUAGUGAUAUGUUUUAGUUACUGCUAGAUUGUGAUAGUG